rnacentral:rRNA from 1 species
AACACAUGCAAGUCGAGGGGCAGCAUUGGAGUAGCAAUACUUCAGAUGGCGACCGGCGCACGGGUGAGUAACACGUAUCCAACCUGCCGCUUACUCGGGGAUAGCCUUUCGAAAGAAAGAUUAAUACCCGAUGGUAUAAAGAGUUCGCAUGUUCUCUUUAUUAAAGAAUUUCGGUAAGCGAUGGGGAUGCGUUCCAUUAGAUUGUUGGCGGGGUAACGGCCCACCAAGUCUACGAUGGAUAGGGGUUCUGAGAGGAAGGUCCCCCACAUUGGAACUGAGACACGGUCCAAAUCCUACGGGAGGCAGCAGUGAGGAAUAUUGGUCAAUGGACGAGAGUCUGAACCAGCCAAGUAGCGUGAAGGAUGACUGCCCUAUGGGUUGUAAACUUCUUUUAUAAGGGAAUAAAGUGAGGGACGUGUCCCUUUUUGUAUGUACCUUAUGAAUAAGGAUCGGCUAACUCCGUGCCAGCAGCCGCGGUAAUACGGAGGAUCCGAGCGUUAUCCGGAUUUAUUGGGUUUAAAGGGAGCGUAGGUUGACGUAUAAGUCAGCUGUGAAAGUCUACGGCUCAACCGUGAAAUUGCAGUUGAUACUGUAUGUCUUGAGUGUACAAGAGGUGGGCGGAAUUCGUGGUGUAGCGGUGAAAUGCUUAGAUAUCACGAAGAACUCCAAUUGCGAAGGCAGCUCACUGGGGUACAACUGACACUGAGGCUCGAAAGUGUGGGUAUCAAACAGGAUUAGAUACCCUGGUAGUCCACACAGUAAACGAUGAAUACUCGCUGUUUGCGAUAUACAGUAAGCGGCCAAGCGAAAGCAUUAAGUAUUCCACCUGGGGAGUACGCCGGCAACGGUGAAACUCAAAGGAAUUGACGGGGGCCCGCACAAGCGGAGGAACAUGUGGUUUAAUUCGAUGAUACGCGAGGAACCUUACCCGGGCUUGAAUUGCAGAGGAACAUAGUUGAAAGAUUAUGGCCGCAAGGUCUCUGUGAAGGUGCUGCAUGGUUGUCGUCAGCUCGUGCCGUGAGGUGUCGGCUUAAGUGCCAUAACGAGCGCAACCCUUAUCAUUAGUUACUAACAGGUUAUGCUGAGGACUCUAGUGAGACUGCCGUCGUAAGAUGUGAGGAAGGUGG